GGACCAUUCUGCCAUUUCUAACUGGAUCCAUUCCUUUCCUCAACAUACUUAGUAGGAUGAUGAUAAUGAUUGUUUCACAGCGCUGACACUCUGCGUUUUAAGUAGAAGAUUAAUUUGAGAAUUUGGGAACAUUGAAUCAAUCUACAGCCACAAUGUUGUCAUGGAUGGAAGGGACACAACUUUGAACAUCUGGGAUUCACCAUGUUGUCAGGACAAUGAUACAACACACCUCCAGGCGGUGUAAGGGCUAUUUGACCACAAAGGAGAGUGAUGGAGUGCUGCAGGUCAAGGAGACACCGGAUGUCCACUAGGGGGUGUGGCAGGAGCAGAGGUGACGGUGUGUUUCCCCGCUGGCUUCCUCAUAGUCUCAUAGUCUGCUAGGACCUGAGCACUAAGACCAUGCCCCAGGACUACCUGGCAUGAUGACUUCUUGCUGUCCCCAGUCCACCUGGCUGUGCUGCUGCUCAAGUUUCUACUGUUCUGCCUGCGGCUAUGGAAUCCUGACCUGUUCACUGGAUGUGCUACCUGUCCCAGACCAGCGGUUUUCAACUCUCUAGAGACAGCAGGAGCGGUAGAGAUACUCUCAAUGAUCGGCUAUGAAAAGCCAACUGACAUUUACUCCUGAGGUGGUGACCUGUUGCACCCUCAACAACUACUGUGAUUAUUAUUAUUUGACCAUGCUGGUCAUUUAUGAACAAUUUAACAUAUUGGCCAUGUUCUGUUAUAAUCUCCACCUGGCACAGCCAGAAGAGGACUGGCCACCCCUCCUGGUUCCUCUCUAGGUUUUGUCCUAGGUUUUGGCCUUUCUAGGGUGUUUUUCCUAGCCACCGUGCUUCUAUACCUGCAUUGCUUGCUGUUUGGGGUUUUAGGCUGGGUUUCUGUGCAGCACUUUGAGAUAUCAACUGAUGUAAGAAGGGCUAUAUAAAUAAAUUGAUUUCAAUUAUCUUUCAUUAGGAGGCUCUUUGAACAAACAGGCCAUUGAGGCCAAACAGACUGGUAUGAGCUAUGAUGGGCAGAAUGCAUGCAAGCAUGCCUUUUCAUGUGCCAAUAUGAACUAGAAUGCAUUUCAUCAUCUUCAGGCAACUCUGAAUUUGAACGUACAGGAAGUUAUAGUCUUGCUUUCACCUGUAAUUACAAAAUAAUUUAAACCUAAUGUACAGUACAUACCUAGUAAGGGCAUGAUAAAAUAUAUGUCAUAUCACUGUCAAGCUGGCCUGGAACAUGGUACCUAUUUGUUUUAGAUUAAUGGUGGCUUUUUGUAAUGAUCAGUGGCAAUGUACAUCUUUUUUUAAAACAUACCAGCAAAGGCUACAAAACACUGAACAAUACAUUAAUUGCACUGUAAUGGUGACAAAUGGUACCCACAAACUGUUAGGGCCUACAUAAAGCUGUCCCAACAGCAGAGCUUUUUUUCAUGACCAUGGAGUGAAUCCUUACCACUGCUACACAUGGCUAUCAGUGGAACCUUGUCUGGCAGCGAAUCAGUUCAUUCAGCCUCAUUUACUGCCUUUUAAAAAACAUAGCUGAUAUGGCUGACUUGCUUCAACAAAUGUGGUUUAUACGGACAAUUGAGAUGUACAAACUAUGGCAUAAGGGGACAACGAGAUAGUUUUAAUUAAGACAUUAA